ACAGGAAUUAGCUUGCUAAUUUGCUGACGAGCGGCGGACGGGUGAAUAACGCGUAGGAAUCUGCCUGGUAGUGGGGGACAACAUGUGGAAACGCAUGCUAAUACCGCAUACGCCCUACGGGGGAAAGGAGGGGAUCUUCGGACCUUUCGCUAUCAGAUGAGCCUGCGUGAGAUUAGCUAGUUGGUGGGGUAAAGGCUCACCAAGGCGACGAUCUCUAGCUGGUCUGAGAGGAUGAUCAGCCACACUGGGACUGAGACACGGCCCAGACUCCUACGGGAGGCAGCAGUGGGGAAUAUUGGACAAUGGGCGCAAGCCUGAUCCAGCCAUGCCGCGUGUGUGAAGAAGGCCUUCGGGUUGUAAAGCACUUUCAGAGGUGAGGAAGGGUGCGUAGUUAAUACCUGCGUACUUUGACGUUAACCUCAGAAGAAGCACCGGCUAACUCUGUGCCAGCAGCCGCGGUAAUACAGAGGGUGCGAGCGUUAAUCGGAAUUACUGGGCGUAAAGCGCGCGUAGGCGGUUUGUUAAGUCGGAUGUGAAAUCCCAGGGCUCAACCUUGGAAU
rnacentral:rRNA from 1 species